rnacentral:snoRNA from 1 species
AAGCCACUAAUUAUUUCUGCAUUAUUGGCAGAGGCAUAGAUAACUGGAGUUGCUAAAGUAAUUGUGAUUGUAGAAAAGUAUGAGCAUCCGAAGUGACUAAGGUGGUCCUUUCUGGUUGAGUACAGGA